rnacentral:misc_RNA from 1 species
GUGAAUCAUCAAAUUUUUGAACGCAAAUUGCACUCUCUGGUAUUCCGAAGAGUAUGCCUGUUUGAGGGUCAGUAUAAAUAAAAAUCGAGGUGUUGCUUACGUUGCCUCCAUCGGAAUUGGGUUAUCUUUAUUCUUAAUAAAGUUAUAAAGUGACCUAAAAUGGAUGAUACCUUGCGCAUCUCUAGACGUACAUAAGGAUUUUUUUUUAUUCGUCCGUA